rnacentral:rRNA from 1 species
UACGUAGGGCGCAAGCGUUGUCCGGAAUUAUUGGGCGUAAAGAGCUCGUAGGCGGCUUGUCGCGUCUGUUGUGAAAGCCCGGGGCUUAACCCCGGGUCUGCAGUGGAUACGGGCAGGCUAGAGGCAGGUAGGGGAGAACGGAAUUCCCGGUGUAGCGGUGAAAUGCGCAGAUAUCAGGAGGAACACCGGUGGCGAAGGCGGGUCUCUGGGCAACAACUGACGCUGAGGAGCGAAAGCGUGGGGAGCGAACAGG